rnacentral:rRNA from 1 species
GUGGGGAAUUUUGGACAAUGGGCGCAAGCCUGAUCCAGCAAUGCCGCGUGCAGGAAGAAGGCCUUCGGGUUGUAAACUGCUUUUGUCAGGGAAGAAAUCUUCUGGGCUAAUACCCCGGGAGGAUGACGGUACCUGAAGAAUAAGCACCGGCUAACUACGUGCCAGCAGCCGCGGUAAUACGUAGGGUGCGAGCGUUAAUCGGAAUUACUGGGCGUAAAGCGUGCGCAGGCGGCUUUGCAAGACAGAUGUGAAAUCCCCGGGCUCAACCUGGGAACUGAAUUUGUGACUGCAAGGCUAGAGUACGGCAGAGGGGGAUGGAAUUCCGCGUGUAGCAGUGAAAUGCGUAGAUAUGCGGAGGAACACCAAUGGCGAAGGCAAUCCCCUGGGCCUGUACUGACGCUCAUGCACGAAAGCGUGGGGAGCAAACAGGAUUAGAAACCCGUGUAGUCC